rnacentral:rRNA from 1 species
UGGGGAAUUUUGGACAAUGGGCGAAAGCCUGAUCCAGCAAUGCCGCGUGUGUGAAGAAGGCCUUCGGGUUGUAAGGCACUUUUGUCCGGAAAGAAAUCCUUGGCUCUAAUACAGUCGGGGGAUGACGGUACCGGAAGAAUAAGCACCGGCUAACUACGUGCCAGCAGCCGCGGUAAUACGUAGGGUGCAAGCGUUAAUCGGAAUUACUGGGCGUAAAGCGUGCGCAGGCGGUUUGCUAAGACCGAUGUGAAAUCCCCGGGCUCAACCUGGGAACUGCAUUGGUGACUGGCAGGCUAGAGUAUGGCAGAGGGGGGUAGAAUUCCACGUGUAGCAGUGAAAUGCGUAGAGAUGUGGAGGAAUACCGAUGGCGAAGGCAGCCCCCUGGGCCAAUACUGACGCUCAUGCACGAAAGCGUGGGGAGCAAACAGGAUUAGAUACCCUGGUAGUCCACGCCCUAAACGAUGUCAACUAGUUGUUGGGGAUUCAUUUCCUUAGUAACGUAGCUAACGCGUGAAGUUGACCGCCUGGGGAGUACGGUC